GACGAACGCUGGCGGCGUGCCUAAUACAUGCAAGUAGAACGCUGAAGGAGGAGCUUGCUUCUCUGGAUGAGUUGCGAACGGGUGAGUAACGCGUAGGUAACCUGCCUGGUAGCGGGGGAUAACUAUUGGAAACGAUAGCUAAUACCGCAUAAUAUUGACUAUUGCAUGAUAGUCAGUUGAAAGGUGCAACUGCACCACUACCAGAUGGACCUGCGUUGUAUUAGCUAGUUGGUGGGGUAACGGCUCACCAAGGCGACGAUACAUAGCCGACCUGAGAGGGUGAUCGGCCACACUGGGACUGAGACACGGCCCAGACUCCUACGGGAGGCAGCAGUAGGGAAUCUUCGGCAAUGGACGGAAGUCUGACCGAGCAACGCCGCGUGAGUGAAGAAGGUUUUCGGAUCGUAAAGCUCUGUUGUAAGAGAAGAACGAGUGUGAGAGUGGAAAGCUCACACUGUGACGGUAUCUUAUCAGAAAGGGACGGCUAACUACGUG
rnacentral:rRNA from 1 species